AGAUUGAACGCUGGCGGCGUGCUUAACACAUGCAAGUCGAGCGGAAAGGCCCUUCGGGGUACUCGAGCGGCGAACGGGUGAGUAACACGUGAGUAACCUGCCCCUAGCUCUGGGAUAGCUCCGGGAAACCGGGAUUAAUACCAGAUACGACCACUUUAGACAUCUGUCGUGGUGGAAAGGAUUCCGGCUAGGGAUGGGCUCGCGGCCUAUCAGCUUGUUGGUGGGGUAACGGCCUACCAAGGCGACGACGGGUAGCCGGCCUGAGAGGGCGACCGGCCACACUGGGACUGAGACACGGCCCAGACUCCUACGGGAGGCAGCAGUGGGGAAUAUUGCGCAAUGGGCGAAAGCCUGACGCAGCGACGCCGCGUGGGGGAUGAAGGCCUUCGGGUUGUAAACCCCUUUCGAGCAGGGACGAAGCGAAAGUGACGGUACCUGCAGAAGAAGCGCCGGCUAACUACGUGCCAGCAGCCGC
rnacentral:rRNA from 1 species